rnacentral:tRNA from 1 species
GUGGACGAGAGCUCAGUUCGGUAGAGCAGCGGGCUGCGAACCCGAAGGUCGACGGUUCGAGUCCGUCCGGCGGCGCCA